rnacentral:tRNA from 1 species
GAAGUGUUAAUAAAAUAAUUAUGUAACUUUGUCAAAGUUAAAUUAUAGACCAAACCCUAUACACCUCU